CCUACGGGAGACAGCAGUGAGGAAUAUUGGUCAAUGGCCGUAAGGCUGAACCAGCCAAGUAGCGUGAAGGAUGACUGCCCUAUGGGUUGUAAACUUCUUUUAUAUGGGAAUAAAACAGGGUAUGCAUACCCUCUUGUAUGUACCAUAUGAAUAAGGAUCGGCUAACUCCGUGCCAGCAGCCGCGGUAAUACGGAGGAUCCGAGCGUUAUCCGGAUUUAUUGGGUGUAAAGGGAGCGUAGGUGGAUUGUUAAGUCAGUUGUGAAAGUUUGCGGCUCAACCGUAAAAUUGCAGUUGAAACUGGCAGUAUUGAGUACAGUAGAGGUGGGCGGAAUUCGUGGUGUAGCGGGGAAAUGCUUAGAUAUCACGAAGAACUCCGAUUGCGAAGGCAGCUCACUGGACUGCAACUGACACUGAUGCUCGAAAGUGUGGGUAUCAAACAGGAUUAGAUACCCGUGUAGUC
rnacentral:rRNA from 1 species